rfam:Oryza meridionalis cultivar OR44 (W2112) chromosome 1, whole genome shotgun sequence.
AAAAAGGCAAAUCUAGAAUUUCCGUGCCAACGUUUGACUGUCCGUCUUAUAUGAAUUUUUUUGAUAAUUACUAUUUUUAUUGUUGUUAGAUGAUAAAACAUGAUUAAUACUUUAUGCGUGACUUAUUUUUUUAAUUUUUUCAUAAUUUUUCAAAUAAGAUGGACGGUAAAACGUUGGACACGGAAACCAGGGUUUGUCUUUUU